UGAGCACAGUUCUCAGCUACCUCUAAGAGGACUCUCUUCACUGCUUAUAAUACAACCCCCAGAGCUAAGCACACACAAGAAAACAGAACCACUCAUAAGCAAACCAGACAAACUGAUCUCUACUAUCACUGUGAUGUGGUAAGGAGUGCCCACUGGCCAGUCCUCUUUGCUUGAAGACAUUGUCCUCGUGGUGCUCUGGCUAGAGGCUCCACACUCUGCACAGGUUCGACCUGCCAGACCCCCCGCUGGCCAGCUGUGCUGCUGGAGCGACCUGUGGACGGCAUCAGGUGUUUGCUGCACACAUCACUUACUGUGCCCGGCAUGUGACUUCUCUCACUCCUCCCGUUCUGAGAGCUGCCACUUUUGAGCUUCUUCUUCUUCUUGGCUGUCUCUUUGUGUUCUUUCUGCUUGUUCUGCACCUCAAUCAGAGCGGAAAUGAAGCUGUUUUCCACUUCCUUCUCGAACUCGAGUUCAUCUCGCAGGGCCAGCUGCUGCACCAGCUCCUCAGAGUACUGCUUAAUGGCUGCCUCGAUCUCUUCCAGCAGUUCGUUUAGCUCAGACACCGACAGCCUUUUCACUCCUGUGGCCAGAAACACGGACGGCGAACACUGAGACACGGCCGUUUCAAGGCAGCAUAAUGGGUGCUUUAAACCAAAGGGCAAAUCAGAGUCUAAGCAAUUACACUGACCGUUUGGGAUCUUGGGAACUAAGAAGCUCUGGUGGGUGCAUACAAGUAGGGGUGAGUAGAUAAAGUCACUCAGCUGAGAAGAAAAAUGUAUCCUUUUUUUAUGUGUAUAAAUCGAGCAUCCCACGAGUACUACUAUGCCAAGACUGAAAUGAAGCUGGCCUGAGGAAAAGAACAAACCCAGAACCAGGGAAGGGACACAGACAGACAAGCAACCAUUGCAGGGUUCUGGGGAAAGAGCUGGUCUGAAAGCAUCAAACGAAAUGCUUGUUCGAUCCUCCAUGCCUCCUCGCAUGAAUCUGGCUGCAGAUCAGGAGGAUGAGAGGAGGGACAGUCCACGGAAGUCACUUCAGUUCUUCCUCAGCACUCCAAAGCACGGGAGAGCCAGGAGGCCAUUGCUGAAGCCCUAAUGCCUGCACCUCGCAAUGAGACUGGAUGAGCUGCAGGGAAGGACUUAGGUCAUACAGUGCAAAUGAGUUUACUGCAUGGACUUUAAUCCAACGUAACUGCUAGCUUUCCAGAAUGAAGAAAGAGGACAAAGGUGACCCCCCCCCCCUGCCAAGAACCCAGGGGAAACACAGCUGUCCCCAUGUACAAGCCAAGGAGUUGGAUUUUAACACUGGCCUACAAAGCUCUGAGAAGUUGAAUUCCACUGUCUAAGCCAUCUCGUCUGAGGAACGUUUUAGGAAUGCUAGGUAACUGACACAUAUUUCUCCUAUCUUAUCCUAUAUCAGGACUGGAUUUUGGAUUUAGUACUCCAGCAAUGCUAAGGGCUUAUCUACAGAGCUGUGGCCAAAUCACAUCAGAGGAAAAAAAUGUAGCGUGUCAGAGAACCUUCCAAAGGUUACAAAGAAGCCACAAAACACAAAGGAAUUAAGACAGCCCAGCCUCAGACCUCUGGUCAAACCACAGUACAAUCCCAGAUCAUAACGGGAUCCCACCCAGCAGGGAGGCAGGCCUGGCAAUAAUCACAAUGCAUCAGCUGCCAGGCUCAGAGCCACCCCGUGCUGGGUAUGGCUAUUCAGAACCUCUUCGUGACAGCCAACCACAUGGUAGUUACAGUCCAGUGCUGUCAUAUACAAACACAGAUCCAAGUCUAAGAAAAUCUCACUUCCCAAAUUUCUUCAAAGCUACAUCAAAGACAACUGUUUGUAAACUUAGGAAUUCUUUUCAGUAAACACAUUACUAUCUUGCUUUUUAUGAGCUAAAUAAACUUUCUCUCCCCCAAAAACGCAUGCUGAAGUCUUAACCCACAGUCCUGCAGGAUAUCCCAGCAUUUGGAAUAUUUACAGAGAUGACUAAGUAAAAAGGAGGCACAAGGCUGGUCCUCGAUCCAACGUGACCUGUGUCUUACAGGAAGACGAAGAAGCGUGGGUCACUGGUAUGUACGGAAGGAAGGAAGGCUGGAGAAAGGAUGGGCACUCACAGGCCAGGGGUGGGGGGUGGGGUGGGGGCCUUGGGAGGGACACACCCUUAACCUUAGACCUGAAGCUUGUCAGAACAACCAGGAAAUAAACUCAGGCUGUGGAAGC
rnacentral:lncRNA from 1 species